CACGUAGGGGGCGAGCGUUGUCCGGAUUUAUUGGGCGUAAAGAGCUCGUAGGCGGCUCAGUAAGUCAGGUGUGAAAACUCCAGGCUCAACCUGGAGACGCCACCUGAUACUGCUGUGGCUAGAGUCCGGUAGGGGAGCAUGGAAUUCCUGGUGUAGCGGUGAAAUGCGCAGAUAUCAGGAGGAACACCAGUGGCGAAGGCGGUGCUCUGGGCAGUAACUGACGCUGAGGAGCGAAAGCGUGGGGAGCGAACAGG
rnacentral:rRNA from 1 species